GGGUUCUUAGCUCAGUUGGUAGAGCGGCAGACUGAAGAUCUGCGCGUCCCAGGUCCGAUUCCUGGAGAGCCCACCA
rnacentral:tRNA from 2 species